rnacentral:pre_miRNA from 1 species
UGGGGGAGGCGGAAUCCUGGGCUGUGUCCCGGCGCCCUGUGCUCCGGAGCCUGCGCUGUUGGAUUCGCGCUCCAGCCCCGCAGCCCCCU